rnacentral:rRNA from 1 species
UACGUAGGGUGCAAGCGUUGUCCGGAAUUAUUGGGCGUAAAGAGCUCGUAGGCGGUUCGGUAAGUCGGGUGUGAAAACUCUGGGCUCAACCCAGAGCCGCCACCCGAUACUGCUGUGACUCGAGUGCGGUAGGGGAGGCGGGGAAUUCCUGGUGUAGCGGUGAAAUGCGCAGAUAUCAGAAGAACACCUAUGGCGAAGGCAGCUCUCUGGGACGGUACUGACGCUGAGACGCGAAAGCGUGGGAGCAAACAGG